rnacentral:rRNA from 1 species
AUUGAACGCUGGCGGCAGGCUUAACACAUGCAAGUCGAGCGGGGUGAUGGUGCUUGCACUAUCACUUAGCGGCGGACGGGUGAGUAAUGCUUAGGAAUCUGCCUAUUAGUGGGGGACAACAUCUCGAAAGGGAUGCUAAUACCGCAUACGUCCUACGGGAGAAAGCAGGGGAUCACUUGUGACCUUGCGCUAAUAGAUGAGCCUAAGUCGGAUUAGCUAGUUGGUGGGGUAAAGGCCUACCAAGGCGACGAUCUGUAGCGGGUCUGAGAGGAUGAUCCGCCACAUUGGGACUGAGACACGGCCCAGACUCCUACGGGGGGCAGCAGUGGGGAAUAUUGGACAAUGGGGGGAACCCUGAUCCAGCCAUGCCGCGUGUGUGAAGAAGGCCUUAUGGUUGUAAAGCACUUUAAGCGAGGAGGAGGCUCCUUUGGUUAAUACCCAAGAUGAGUGGACGUUACUCGCAGAAUAAGCACCGGCUAACUCUGUGCCAGCAGCCGCAGUAA